rnacentral:rRNA from 1 species
AUCUUGCACAAUGGGCGAAAGCCUGAUGCAGCGACGCCGCGUGGGGGAUGAAGGCCUUCGGGUUGUAAACCCCUUUCAGUAGGGACGAAAAUGACGGUACCUACAGAAGAAGCUCCGGCCAACUACGUGCCAGCAGCCGCGGUAACACGUAGGGAGCAAGCGUUGUCCGGAUUUAUUGGGCGUAAAGAGCUCGUAGGUGGUUCGGUAAGUCGGAUGUGAAAACUCAAGGCUCAACCUUGAGACGCCAUCCGAUACUGCUGUGACUUGAGUUCGGUAGAGGAGUGUGGAAUUCCUGGUGCAGCGGUGAAAUGCGCAGAUAUCAGGAGGAACACCGACAGCGAAAGCAGCACUCUGGGCCGAUACUGACACUGAGGAGCGAAAGCAUGGGGAGCAAACAGGAUUAGAUACCCUGGUAGUCCAUGCCGUAAACGUUGGGCACUAGGUGUGGGGAUUAUCAACGAUUCUCGUGCCGUCGUUAACGCAUUAAGUGCCCCGCCUGGGGAGUACGGUCGAGGUGACUAAAACUCGACGGAAUUGCAACGGGACUUGUGUUAUUCAGGCACCGAAACUACCUGGGUUGCAUAGGAAGCUAGAUUGUGCUCGGCUAAAGGGCUGGUUCACUC